GGAUAGCUCAGUUGGUUAGAGCGUGGUCUGAUGCCAAGGUUGCAGGUUCGAUUGCUGUAGGCAGCU